rnacentral:rRNA from 1 species
UACGUAGGGGGCAAGCGUUGUCCGGAAUCAUUGGGCGUAAAGGGCGCGUAGGCGGCUUGAUAAGGUUGCGGUGAAAGCCCGGGGCUCAACCCCGGGUCGGCCGUGGCAACUGUCGAGCUGGAGCACUGUAGAGGCAGGUGGAAUUCCGGGUGUAGCGGUGGAAUGCGUAGAGAUCCGGAAGAACACCGGUGGCGAAGGCGGCCUGCUGGGCAGUGGCUGACGCUGAGGCGCGACAGCGUGGGGAGCAAACAGG